GUAGCAUGUCCAAAACAUAAAAGUGCCACUGUAAGUGAGGAAACCUUAUAUCUGGAACAAUACAGCACAGACCAAAAUGUUCAAAUGUUGCCAGCGACCAACACCUUUUGUUAUUAUGAAUUAAAUACAUAUUCUGAUGAAAUGGAGACUUGGUUGCUAGAAAAAAGAUUAAAGAAAGCGUACAGUGUUUACAUUUUCAAUAUAACUGAAGGCGUUUAUACGACGACUGAAAAAUUUUGGGGAAUGGUUAUAAACAAGGAUCAUUACUGGAAGGCAUUGAUCUUGGACGAACUGUCGCUGUUUCUGCCGUAGACAUAACAAGCACUAAAGAUACAUCAAACGUUUGCGGCAAUUUGAAAGUGAAAUGUUUCAUAAGCAGAGAAAAAAUGGACUUUAUGUACACGGGCGCUGUUUUAUGUAAAUAUGUCAAUGUUUGUCGUCUUGGUUCUUUCUCAGUCAGUCUUCUAUUUAUAAGGAUCAUGGAAGGACGCUACGUAGCAUUGUCUGUCGACAAUGUUGAUGAUGACUUGAACAUCAAUGUGUAUACUGAACGUAUUAUCAACGAUGAAGUAGGAAUUUGUAAUAAUGACCUUGGGAUGAGCGAUAUGAGCAUUACAGACGAUCAACUAUUGGCGUCAUCAGCCUCUUUAUCGUACACGCCCAACAAAGCAAGGCCUUUUUCCUCAGGAUGGUGCUCAGAGCUUAACGACCAUUCCCCAUACUUUGAGGU